CAUCUGCCCACUUGGUGGUCCCACGCAUGAAAGCAAACCCGUCAGCGUCACGACUCCUCGAGGCCCGAGGAAGAACAGAUGGACUUGUUUGUGCGUUGACACUGGUCCUCAGAAGAAGCGUGUCCAAGCCACCGUGCGCCGCACCGACAGCUCGACAGCGAUGUACCCCACCAUCCUGUCAGAGGUGAACCCUGGAACCCUGCCUAACCGUGCACCUGUGCUUCCGGGAUAGGCUCCGGACCUCCGGCACCCCGACCCGAGCAAGCGGUGAUUGACACUUAGCGAGCGGGUCAAUGUUUACCCACAUAGUUGAACACCCUGCGCAGUAACCGUUCGACAUCCAGUCUCCCAGUGUUACAGGACGGGUCAUAUAAUAUCCUCUCAUAAUAUAGCUGCCUUUAUUAAUACAGCUCAUGUAGACCUCCCUCCAUCCCUGCUCAGGUUUUACCUUGGAUCAAGGUCAAGACAGCUCGUUCAGUGUCUUCUUCUCUGACGAAGCCUUCGGUAGAACCUGAGCUCCGGUGAGCCAGGUCAUUUGCUUCCUGGUCGCGCACACAGGUGGACUCAGAAGGCAAAGAGAGUUUAAUCAUUAAUCACGAAGAGAGAUUAAAAAGAUGGGCCAUUUCCUCUGGGGUCCUGGACCAAUUUAAACCCUGCUGGCUGAUUCCAUAAGUGCUGUACACUGAAAUGUGGGUGCCCUGAUGAAAUAUUUCUAAAUUGGAGAAUGCAGGACAGGUACGGAUUGCUGGAGAAGGGCAAUUUGUCCCCUGGCGCAGCCGUUGGGAUGGCAAAGAGGGGUUUAUUGUGGAUGGAAA